rnacentral:lncRNA from 1 species
GGGGCUGCACAUCAAUUCCGGCGAGGGUGAGGGCCGGGCAGCCAUGGCAGAUGGCCUGAAGCGAGAAUUAGCCUUCAUUUAUGUAAUUAAUUUUGUAAUUAAUCUAUAUUUAAUAUUUCUAAUUAGUAUCUAAACAUUCGAUGUGACAGUGACUAAACUUUAGUCCUUGGAACCAAACACCCUCUAACUAUGACAGUGACUAAACUUUAGUCACC